CACGGGGGUUGCGAGCGUUGUCCGGAAUUACUAGGCGUAAAGGGCAGGCAGGCGGAUCCAUAAGUUUAUCGUUUAAGGCGUCGGCUUAACCGGCGUAGGGCGGUAGAUACUGUGGAUCUGGAAUGCGGUUGGGGAAGACAGAAUUCCUGGUGUAGCGGUGGAAUGCGAAGAGAUCAGGAGGAAUACCGAAGGCGAAGGCAGUCUUCCAAGCCGUUAUUGACGCUCAACUGCGAAGGUGUGGGUAUCAAACAGGAUUAGAUACCCUGGUAGUCCCUGAG
rnacentral:rRNA from 1 species